rfam:Brassica napus, WGS project CCCW01000000 data, contig: 18174
AGAAUAUAAGAAACUGUUUCUUAACUUUUAACUAAAAAAGCUAAGAACCGACUCUUAACUGUAUCUAAGAGCCGGUUCUUAGUUUUUUUAGUUAAAACUUAAGAGACGAUUUUUUAUAUUCC